CAAGUACUUCCUCCGUCCGGAAAUACUUGUUAUCAAAAUGAAUAAAAGGGGAUGUAUCUAGAUGUAUAUUAGUUUUAGAUACAUCCCUUCUUAUUCAUUUUGAUGACAAAUAUUUUCAGACGAAGGGAGUAAGUU
rnacentral:pre_miRNA from 1 species